rnacentral:rRNA from 1 species
UGGCGGACGGGUGAGUAACACGUGAGCAACCUGCCUAUCAGAGGGGGAUAACGAUUGGAAACGAUCGCUAAUACCGCAUGACAUAGCGGAAUCGCAUGGUUCUGUUAUCAAAGAUUUUAUCGCUGAUAGAUGGGCUCGCGUCCGAUUAGAUAGUUGGUGGGGUAACGGCCUACCAAGUCGACGAUCGGUAGCCGGACUGAGAGGUCGAACGGCCACAUUGGGACUGAGACACGGCCCAGACUCCUACGGGAGGCAGCAGUGGGGGAUAUUGCACAAUGGGGGAAACCCUGAUGCAGCGACGCCGCGUGAGGGAAGACGGUCCUCUGGAUUGUAAACCUCUGUCUUCGGGGACGAAACGAAACGGUACCCGAGGAGGAAGCCACGGCUAACUACGUGCCAGCAGCCGCGGUAAUACGUAGGUGGCAAGCGUUGUCCGGAAUUACUGGGUGUAAAGGGAGCGUAGGCGGGCAGGCAAGUCAGGCGUGAAAUAUAUCGGCUCAACCGGUAACGGCGCUUGAAACUGCAGGUCUUGAGUGAAGUAGAGGUUGGCGGAAUUCCUAGUGUAGCGGUGAAAUGCGUAGAUAUUA